UACGUAGGGACAAGCGUUGUUCGGAUUUACUGGGCGUAAAGGGCGCGUAGGCGGCAAUUCAAGUCAGCUGUGAAAUCUCUGGGCUUAACCCAGAACGGCCAGCUGAUACUGCUUGCUAGAGUACAGAAGGGGCAAUCGGAAUUCUUGGUGUAGCGGUGAAAUGACGUAGAUAUCAAGAGGAACACCUGCGGUGUAGACGCUUUCUGGACCAUGCUGACGCUGGAGACACGAAAGCGUGGGUAGCAAACAGG
rnacentral:rRNA from 1 species